UACGUAGGGUGCGAGCGUUGUCCGGAAUUAUUGGGCGUAAAGAGCUUGUAGGCGGUUUGUCGCGUCUGCCGUGAAAGCCCAGGGCUUAACCCUGGGUCUGCGGUGGGUACGGGCAGACUAGAGUGUGGUAGGGGAGACUGGAAUUCCUGGUGUAGCGGUGAAAUGCGCAGAUAUCAGGAGGAACACCGAUGGCGAAGGCAGGUCUCUGGGCCACUACUGACGCUGAAAAGCGAAAAGCAUGGGGAGCAAACAGG
rnacentral:rRNA from 1 species